rnacentral:rRNA from 1 species
UACGUAGGGUGCAAGCGUUAAUCGGAAUGACUGGGCGUAAAGGGUGCGUAGGUGGCGCCGUAAGUCAGGUGUGAAAUUUCGGAGCUUAACUCCGAAACUGCAUUUGAUACUGCGGUGCUUGAGGACUGGAGAGGAGACUGGAAUUUACGGUGUAGCAGUGAAAUGCGUAGAGAUCGUAAGGAAGACCAGUGGCGAAGGCGGGUCUCUGGACAGUUCCUGACACUGAGGCACGAAGGCCAGGGGAGCAAACGGG